rnacentral:lncRNA from 1 species
CAUGGCAACAAUAACUCGUACAAUGGUUGUUAAGUUGUCUCGUAGUCCUACAAUUUAGCUCAUGAGGUGGUUGUUUCGCGAAGCAACGACCUCUUUCUCUCUCCUCGCUCUCUCUCCUCCACAUCGUCAAAAAUCCUACGUGGCACUGCAUGAGAUGACCUAUGAGACCGCUGACGUGUAGCAAUGUACUUGCCCUAAUCCCUGUAACGUGUGAGGUGAGCUGGCAAUUGGCAUCGACGGUUGAUAAGGGCAAAAGAUGGGCCACACGAGAGUGGGCUAUAUGCUUAUUUUCAGUCUCACAACGUUGAGCCAAUAAAAAUCUCACCCUUAGUAAAACCUCCCGUUCCCCUCUUUCUCUCUGCCUCGUGCUUCUUCCUUCCUUCGCGCCGCCAUCCAUCUCCCGCAAGUGCUGCCAUCGCCCAUCCUCCCAUACCCUCCCUCCUCAUCUGCACUAUGCACGGAUCAAAUUCCCUACAUAGCACCUCCCUCCGGUCUGAGUUACCCUUUGUUUCAAGUUUUGCAAGGGAGAGGGGGAGAUCUGUCCAACCUUUGGCUACCUCCAUGAGCUGCCGCCAAGGUGGCCGUCUUCCCAAUCCAUGCGGCGUACAUGGCUAGGGAAGACUAGAGCGUGGAGAAGACUGCACGGAAGGUGUCACUGGCGUUGAGGUCUGCGAGCAAGGAAGGGGGCGUGUUGCGGAGGUUUGGAUGGACCGGCGCCUGCGGCUUCAACCUCCUCUUCGAUUUCAGGUUAACAGCAUCCUCCUUCAACUUCAUCCUCGUACUCGUGGUGGAGCUCACGGCUCACGCAUCUCUCGAGCUCAAGUUGGUGGCGGGAGCAAACGACGAGAACACAAAUAAUGGGAGGAGAUGGUAGUGGAGAGAGAGAAUAUUGAUUUUUUAUCUAUAUGACCAGUCUUCUCAUAAGUUAUGAACCACUAUAAAGACUGCUCCACAAUGGUGAGCCGGCCCAUAUAGAUCUAUAAAGAUCACUUUUCCUCUCAAUUGUAGCUGCCCUAACUAGUACGACCGGUCAAGAUCACGUUGUAUAUAUUGGUGUUAGCUAGGCGCGUAGCAAUAACCAGAAUCGCGCAACAAGAUGCGUGCUUCUGCGUGACAACUGAUACACUCGCUCAUUUGCUUUUGUUAGUAAUUAGUGAUAUGUAGAGGAGAUCAUCGAGAAGCCCUCUAGAUUCAUCGUCAUAAGAGAAAAAUCAGAACUGUAUUAUACUACCAUUUAACUUAAUUCUAGAUUGUACUGGACCUCUGAAAACUUGUAUUAAUUUGUGUCAUUGCUGCGUGCGCGUAAACGAACCACAUUUCCAUUGCCAAGCUGCAUUGAUCUCCUAGUAGCCGAUUUGUGAACUCUCCUUAUUUCCAUUGCCGUGCACUAGACCAUGCAUGAUUGAUGUGCAUCGGUACGCUGCAUGCACUCCUUUGGUACCCAAGAAGCUAUACAUCUUCCGAUGAGUGGUGGGUCCAAAUUUGAAGCUAGCAUCCAUCAGGCCACGGGGGCAGCAUGUAUGGGUGCACGCGCGUGUAGAGUUUGACUUCCAUCUCUUCGGAGUUCUGAUGAGUGAUGACAGGAGCGAAGACCGGGAGGAGUUAACAGGAGAUUGAGCAAAGGCCUAGCCGGCUAGUAGCUACGACAUCAUGAGCCUCGGGCUAGUGAAAUGGCCUACCGGUGAGCAGCUUGGCCUGGGUGUUUUAGGCCCGUUUGGAUACCCCUUGUUAAAGUUUAGCACCUGUCACAUCGGAUGUUUGAUGCUAAUUAGGAGUAUUAAACAUAAAUUAAUUGUACAUAUGGAGUCGCGAAUUGGAGUCUAAUUCGCGAGACGAAUCUAUUAAGCCUAAUUAGUCCAUGAUUUGACAAUGUGAUGCUACAGUAACCAUUUACUAAUGAUGGAUUAGCACAGGGGUUCUGCAAUUAGUUUUAUAAUUAGCUCAUGUUUAGUCCUCCUAAUUAGUAUUCGAACAUCUGAUGUGACACUGCUAAAGUUUAGCACAUAGUAUCCAAACACCCCACUCUGGACCUAGUACAAAUCAAUCAAUAAUGACCACGCCCACCAAUCCAAUUCCAAACGAAAAAUGGAAGUGACACCGUCAGGUAUACUUGAACUUAGGGCCUGUUUGGAUACCCUGUGUUAAAGUAGGCCCUUUGGAUACCCUGUGUUAAAGUUUAACAAGUGUUAAAGUUUUAACACUCUCAAAUGGAGUGCUAAAGUUUAACACAGUGGUGUGUUUGGAUGGUGUGUUAAACUUUAACACCUUUGGUGGGAAAUGACUCCAUUGCCCCCUCAUUUAUGGCUAGCGGAGAGAGAGGGAGGAGAGAGAAGGGGGUAAUGGUGGGAAAAAGUGGAGAGGGGACCACUUUUAACAAGUUUAACAACUUUUAAUACCCCUUUGAGGUGUUUAUGAAAUUGGAGGUGUUAAACUUUAACACAUCCCUUUUAACACAUGUGUUUGGGAGGUAAUGUGAUAAAAAAGGUAUUAAAAGUGGGGUGUUAAACUUUAACACCCCCUAUCCAAAUAGGACCUUAUCGAUCUGUACCGAACUCUGUGUUUUUUUUCCUUCUACAUGUAUUUAGGACCUAUUUGGGAAGGGGGUGUUAAAGUUUAACAGGGUGUUAAACUUUAACACCCUCAAAUGGAGUGUUAAACUUUAGUAUCUUGAAGUGUUUGGAUAGUUUGUUAAACUUUAACACGUUACAUGAGAAAUGACAAUAUUGCCCCUCCUUCCUCUUGCACACUACCCUUUCCCGUGCUGCUGCGCUAUCUCUGCUCUCGUAAAAUCGAUGAGAGGUGGGAACUGCGUGCUCUCCUAACAUUGCCCCUUAGGAGAGGAGAGGACCGGGGAUGGAGGGGCUGUACUUAGGGGCCGAUGGUGGUGGAGGAGAAGCCGCUCGCCAGCUCUCCCACGCGGCCACUCAUCGGCGCCGCUCGAAGCCGCCCUCCGCGCCCGCGCCUACUCCUGCCGAAGCCGCCUCUCGCACCCACCGCCGAAGCCGCCACCUGCCCCGAAGCCGCGCCGCCGAAGUCGCCACCUACCCCGCCGCCGAAGCUGCGCUGCCCCGGUCCCUCCUGCGCCCAUCACUGAAGCCGCCACCCCCGCCGCCGCCUGCCCCGCCGCCGAAGCCACGCCCGCCCGGCCGCUGUUGCCGCGCCAGCUGCUCCCGGUCGCCCGCCGCUACCUCCGAGAGGAGAGAGGAUGGAAGAGAGGAGGACCUGUGGGCGGGAGGAGAUGCCACCGCCCGCUGCCCGCGCGAGGCCACCAGCUAGCCGCGGGGCCGGAGGGGAAGACCAAGGUGCCGUCCACCGGCUCGCCGCGCCGUGGAUCUGGGGUGGCGUGGGGAGGAGACGAAGGUGGGCGGAAUGGGAGGACCUGCGGGCGGGGAUGGCCGGCGGGAUGGAUAGCCCGACGCUGCUUGCUUCCGCCGUCGCCCUCCUCCCGAGAUCCUGUCCCGGCGCAGGAGCGAAGCGGACCGGUGGUGGCAGGCACAGCGGCGGCGCGCGACGGGCGGACCGGCGGCGGCGGGCACAGGCGCACAGCGGAGGGAGCGCAGAGCGGCAGCGCCGCGCGCGGAUCGAGGGAGGAAGAUGGGGGGCAGCGGAGGAGAGGGGGGCAACCAGGGGAUAUGUGAACUAGGGGACCACUUUUAACACCUUUAGCAAGUUUUAACACCCCCUCUGUGUGUUUAUGAAAAAUAGGGUGUUAAACUUUAACACAACUAUUUUAACACAACUAUUUGGCAGCCAAUAUGUUGGGGGUGUUUGGGAAACACCUGUUAAAGUUUAACACCUGUCACAUCGGAUGUUUGGAUGCUAAUUAGGAGUACUAAACAUAAGCUAAUUACAAAACUAAUNNNNNNNNNNNNNNNNNNNNNNNNNNNNNNNNNNNNNNNNNNNNNNNNNNNNNNNNNNNNNNNNNNNNNNNNNNNNNNNNNNNNNNNNNNNNNNNNNNNNUGGAGUAUUCGGCUUAUAGAUUCGUCUCGCGAAUCAGCACAAGGUUCUGCAAUUAGUUUUAUAAUUAGCUCAUGUUUAGUCCUCCUAAUUAGCAUCCAAACAUCCGAUGUGACACUGUUAAAGUUUAGCACCUCGUAUCCAAACAGCCCCUUAAAAAGAUGUUAAAAGGGUGUUAAACUUUAACACCCCUUCCCAAACAGGAGCUUAAGAGCGUAUAUCAAUUUUUUUUCCGCAUUGUAUAGAGACCGGCUCUAGAAUCCGGACUGCAUGGACAUGACAUAAGCCACUUUAUGUGCAGGGCUGAUGACUUUAUAUCAUGUGCUGUGCAUAAAAGGAUACUUCAUUUCAUGUGAAAAGCUACCUUUGUUAAUUUUCGUGCGCCCCUCCAAUAGUUUCUUACCACUUUCCCAUGUGCUGCCAGCAGCUUUUUUUCUCCUUUCAGGAAUAUUUUAACAUAUGAUGUGCUCCGUCAGGGCCUUCGAGUAAAUAUCAGUGGUACAUCAAUAUGCAACGGUGUACACAUAGGUGCAAAUCAGAAAGAAUCUGUACAGUCCCGGUACAUCGUUGUUCACUAAAAAAACAAAAUGAAUUCUAGCCACCGCCUGCGUGUACACCCACCACCACCGAAUCUGACCCCAGCGCCGCCGCCACCGUCGUCGGAUUCGUGCCACCGCUGAUGGAUGUGUAGAGAGAGAAGAUGGCCGGAUGAAAGAGAAAAGGAGGUGGUUCAAAUGAAUUUGAAAUCUUGUACAUGAAUGUAUUGCGCUAUUUAUUAUAUCUACAACACGUAUAAAAUAUGGUCCUGUAUGCAUACAUGUACAUGAUGUGUUUAUAUCUCAAGACGCAUACAACUGAUACAUCAAUGGGCAGGGUAACAUCUACGAUAGCAUUAGGAAG